AGUGAACGCUGGCGGUAGGCCUAACACAUGCAAGUCGAACGGCAGCACAGUAAGAGCUUGCUCUUACGGGUGGCGAGUGGCGGACGGGUGAGGAAUACAUCGGAAUCUACUUUUUCGUGGGGGAUAACGUAGGGAAACUUACGCUAAUACCGCAUACGACCUACGGGUGAAAGCAGGGGAUCUUCGGACCUUGCGCGAUUGAAUGAGCCGAUGUCGGAUUAGCUAGUUGGCGGGGUAAAGGCCCACCAAGGCGACGAUCCGUAGCUGGUCUGAGAGGAUGCUCAGCCACACUGGAGCUGAGACACGGUCCAGACUCCUACGGGACGCAGCAGUGGGGAAUAUUGGACAGUGGGCGCAAGCCUGAUCCAGCCGUACCGCGUGGGUGAAGAAGGCCUUCGGGUUGUAAAGCCCUUUUGUUGGGAAAGAAAAGCAGCAGGUUAAUACCCCGCUGUUCUGACGGUACCCAAAGAAUAAGCACCGGCUAACUUCGUG
rnacentral:rRNA from 1 species